GAUGAACGCUGGCGGCGUGCCUAAUACAUGCAAGUCGAGCGAAUGGAUUAAGAGCUUGCUCUUAUGAAGUUAGCGGCGGACGGGUGAGUAACACGUGGGUAACCUGCCCAUAAGACUGGGAUAACUCCGGGAAACCGGGGCUAAUACCGGAUAACAUUUUGAACCGCAUGGUUCGAAAUUGAAAGGCGGCUUCGGCUGUCACUUAUGGAUGGACCCGCGUCGCAUUAGCUAGGUGGUGAGGUAACGGCGCACCAAGGCAACGAUGCGUAGCCGACCUGAGAGGGUGAUCGGCCACACUGGGACUGAGACACGGCCCAGACUCCUACGGGAGGCAGCAGUAGGGAAUCUUCCGCAAUGGACGAAAGUCUGACGGAGCAACGCCGCGUGAGUGAUGAAGGCUUUCGGGUCGUAAAACUCUGUUGUUAGGGAAGAACAAGUGCUAGUUGAAUAAGCUGGCACCUUGACGGUACCUAACCAGAAAGUCACGGCUAACUACGUGCCAGCCGCCGCGGUAA
rnacentral:rRNA from 1 species